rnacentral:tRNA from 1 species
GCCGAAUUAGCUCAGUUGGUCAGAGCACGUGAUUUGUAAUCUCGGGGUCCUCAGUUCGAAUCUGAGAUUCGGCUCAA